UCGCACCUGCAUCAUGACAGAGGUGAGUCUGAAAGAGGGAUUUGAAGGUGGAUAAGACUACAUCCAGCUUAUACAAGAAGUGCAACAGAGAGACCACAGGUGUCAAACACUCAGUGGGACCAUGCCACAAGAUUCACUUCAACCUGACAACAAUAAGCUCUUCAGGGUUUUUUCCCCUUGUCAAGGACGCAACAAGCUUCUGGAAGAGAGCCUCCCAGGCAUCAUUCAGGAGCAAAUGGACGCCGUCGACAGCAGCGCUUCAGGGAACUGUUUCCAGCUCCUAUGAGUUCCAUGCUGCUCAUGCCACCAUGCCCAGCACGCUGUGGGAUGGGAGUGGGGCUGCUUGUGGGAAGCAUUCUCUCUCUCUGCAUUUCUGGGGCCCCAGUAGUACAGGCCCCAAGAAGGAGGGCUGUGCAAACCUCAAACUGACGAGAGACUGCAGCCCAUGGAGACUUUAUUUUAAGUCUGGGAACCACAGAGUUUAAGGUUAUUUGGACCUAACAAAGUAGAACCCCAGUUGAGGAAUUUUGACUGAUACCUUUUAACCUGCAUGGUGUCCUUCCAGGGCCACGCUCGGCCAGCAACGGGCACUACAGGAAAGGCACUUGGUUUUUCAGGGAGUAUUAGCAUUGACUUCAAUGAGAGCAGAGUUAGGCCUAUGCUGAUAGCUUUAGAAAUCCCACCCUAAACUCUUUCUGGAUAGUGACUGUAUCUUCCUCUCUGUUUUUCCACUACCCAGCAUAGCGUGAUGUGGCCUCAAUCCCUACUGGAGACUUGGGAUGCUACUGCAAUACAAAUUGUAAAACCGUGACUGAGCAGAUUCUCUGAGCUGCGGCUCUUUCACGAACUGCCCCGGCAUCCCCCUCACAGAGGCUGGCGCAGAUUA